rnacentral:rRNA from 1 species
UGGGCAACCUGCCCCUGGCUCUGGGAUAACUCCGGGAAACCGGAGCUAAUACCGGAUACGAGACCGAUUGGCAUCUUUACGGUCUGGAAAGUUUUUCGGCCAGGGAUGGGCUCGCGGCCUAUCAGCUUGUUGGUGAGGUAAUGGCUCACCAAGGCGACGACGGGUAGCCGGCCUGAGAGGGCGACCGGCCACACUGGGACUGAGACACGGCCCAGACCUCCGUACGGGAGGUA